GCCCACAAAUAGCACCAGCUGGUUCCAGCAUAAAUGCCGAUGACAUGGAUGAGGAGACCAUGAGAGCCGUUUAGUGAAGGACAUCUGACAGGAAUCAGUGACGGCAGGUCAGGCUGUAAAACACUGGUGUGGGAUUUUAUGUGAUACAUGAGGCUUUGGCUCCGGGUUUGAAACACAGGUAUGGGGCUGGGGGUGUAACAUGGGUACGGAGGUACAGCUUUGGGAAGGAGACUCUGAUGAAGGCAAGACAAAUGCAGGAUGUGGAACAUGGGGAUUGUGGUCACACAUCUCUAAAAUGGAGCCUCAUUCUUCAGGUUGACCAACCAAGAAGCAGAACAAGGUACGCAGAUUGAAACUAAAAGAAGGACUGCAAUAACAACUCCAAUAGAAGUCCAGAAUGUUCUUCUUGGAGGAGCUGUGGAAGGAGAUCAGGAUUAUAGGUGACAGCACAUGCCAAGUCAUCCAGCACAGACCAUAGUUUAAAUGUCAAGAGCUGAUUGUGACCUGAGUCCCUGGUGCAGAAGGACAAAAGUGCUAGAGGUGAGUCUGAGAGGAGAAAUAUCAUUUCAUACCUCAGAAUGAAAAGCUGAGAAAUAAGAGCAUAAGUGGGGCUUAAAAUAUAAAAGAUAAACAUCCGGAAGAGAAAAACUGGGUCACAGUGAAGAUAUAUAAUAUAACACAUAUAAUAUAAGUCAUCUACAGCGAGCAGCUGGGCCCCACACAGCAACACGUUAGACGCAUGUCUCUGGAUUCAGGGAGGAAACUGGAUUCAAAUGCGAACUUCAAAGAUGUGGAACCAAAAGGUGAAAAAACAUCAACAUGACAUUA